rnacentral:lncRNA from 1 species
AAAAGACAGACGAGGGAAAGAGGACAUGACUGAGCCAAACUACUCCAGAGCCAGCUGGAGGCAUGGGAGGGUAAUGGUGGACAGUCCGGUUAUUCACACCACAGCUUCUUCUCCUGAGAUGAUGGCUGAAAAAAUCAUCUUUACCAUGCCACGAAUCAGCCAGUGUAAUAACUUGUUAGGAGCAGUCUCAUCCACCAUGGAGAUCAACAAAACCCGGGCAAACAAGGUGAAACGAAGACCAAGUCCCUCAGAUAUUGCACUGGUGAACAGUCAGCAGGCUGAGGGGAGAGUUCAGCUGCAAUGUGAUGGACAAGGACUACAGGUGGAAAUGGCGAGCAUGACCAAGAAAAAGGUGCGGACCGUCGGUGAUGUGCGUUUCCCUGGCCUUCCCAUAGUUGGCCACCAGAUGGAGCUCAAACACACAGACGGUAAGGAGAACCUUGCGAUCACACGCUAUUGA